rnacentral:rRNA from 1 species
UACAGAGGGUGCGAGCGUUAAUCGGAAUUACUGGGCGUAAAGCGCACGUAGGUGGCGACGUAAGUCGGGUGUGAAAGCCCCGGGCUCAACCCGGGAAUUGCAUUCGAGACUGCAUUGCUGGAGUACGGAAGAGGAAGGCGGAAUUCCCGGUGUAGCGGUGAAAUGCGUAGAUAUCAAGAGGAACACCUGAGGUGAAGACGGGUUGCUGGGCUGACACUGACGCUGAGGCGCGAAAGCCAGGGGAGCAAACGGG